rnacentral:rRNA from 1 species
CAGCCGCCGCGGUAAUACAGAGGGUGCAAGCGUUAAUCGGAAUUACUGGGCGUAAAGCGCGCGUAGGUGGUUUGUUAAGUUGAAUGUGAAAUCCCCGGGCUCAACCUGGGAACUGCAUCCAAAACUGGCAAGCUAGAGUAGGGCAGAGGGUGGUGGAAUUUCCUGUGUAGCGGUGAAAUGCGUAGAUAUAGGAAGGAACACCAGUGGCGAAGGCGACCACCUGGGCUCAUACUGACACUGAGGUGCGAAAGCGUGGGGAGCAAACAGGAUUAGAGACCCCUGUAGUCCCUGUCUCUUAUAC